rnacentral:rRNA from 1 species
GAUCCUGGCUCAGGACGAACGCUGGCGGCGCGCCUAACACAUGCAAGUCGAACGGAGAGCAGAGGAUGAAGUUUUCGGAUGGAAUUUUCUGCAUCUUAGUGGCGGACUGGUGAGUAACACGUGAGCAACCUGCCUUUCAGAGGGGGAUAACGUUUGGAAACGAACGCUAAUACCGCAUAACAUUGCUUCAAGGCAUCUUGGAGCAGUCAAAGGAGCAAUCCGCUGAAAGAUGGG